rnacentral:rRNA from 1 species
GAUGAACGCUAGCGGGAGGCCUAACACAUGCAAGCCGAGCGGUAGAGUUUCUUCGGAAACUUGAGAGCGGCGCACGGGUGCGUAACACGUGUGCAACCUACCUUUAUCUGGGGGAUAGCCUUUCGAAAGGAAGAUUAAUACCCCAUAAUAUAAUGAUUGGCAUCAAUUAUUAUUGAAAACUCCGGUGGCUAGAGAUGGGCACGCGCAAGAUUAGAUAGUUGGUGAGGUAACGGCUCACCAAGGCAAUGAUCUUUAGGGGUCCUGAGAGGGAGAUCAGCCACGCGGGGACUGAGACACCGCACGGACUGCUACGUGAGGCAGCAGGGGGGUAUAUUGGAUAAUGGGCGAAAGUAUGACACAGCAAUGCCGCGUGAGGUAUGAAGGCCUUAGGGUUGUAAAGCUCUUUUACCCGGGAUGAUAAUGACAGUACCGGGAGAAUAAGCUCCGGCUAACUCCGUG